ensembl:lncRNA
GGGAGAGGGCGGCGGCCGCUCUGUGGAACCCCUGCUUGCUCCGGUGAGUUACUUUGAUACUUAGCGUUAAAUAACAACAAACCUUCGUUGAUGGACUUUUAAAAAUCUUUCCCGGUGAGGUGGGACCCAUGUUAGGGGUCGGAUUUAAAAGAACAAUGGAAUCUCUCACUUCGCUUAAAGCAAAAUUAAACUUGUCUUUUCCCCCCCUUCUCCCUGUUGGGUGUUGGCUUUUAACUCUUUCCAAGCUGCUUUUGAGAACGGCUGUUAAUGUUCUAGAUGCAAAGGUAUCUUUCUGCUUGUUAAACGUCUGUGACGUUUGUUGUCUUUUAGAAAAGGCAAGUUACAGGAGUGCCUCUAGUAUUUCAAAAAUGACGACGGCAAUAAGGCAGUUUAAAGGAAGUAGAUUUGAUAAUUAAUGGUGCAAGAUAAUGGCGUUUGAUGAAUACAGCUUAAUUUUUACCGAGUACUUUCGCUAAGACCAUUUGACGUCCUGAUAAUUUGAACAUAACUAUACUGUUUGAUACUUUUUUUUUAAAUGAGUAGGAAACGCCGUUAUCAGUAACUUCUAACUUGAAUGUUAAAUCGAACUUGAGUCGGUUCCUACCCUUUAAAAGUUAAAAUUCAUAUUGUAUUUAAAAGGAUGCAUACUAUUAGAAACCGUGACCGUAAAAGUUAAGGAAUAUUCUAAAAGCACAGCUCUUCGUGAAGUUACUUUCCUUAGUGUAAAUAGUGAAGUAGGACUGUCGGUGAUGGGCGAUGAAGAGGGGCCAUAUUUGUUGCAUUUGUUGCAUGUAUAAAAGUGGAGAUGUGCUUAAAAACGGAACAGUAUUGAAAAAACAGUUCUAAAAAACUGUUUUCUGCAUACUCAUUUAAAAAUUAUUUGUGGUAAUUUAGGAAGAGUCGUUGGAAGAAGAAAUUAGGAAUGCUCAUACCUUUGUGUAUUUUUAAAUAUAUUUUCCUCAUUCUGCGGAGCUCUUGUGCUGUAAAGGUGAAGAACUGCGUAAAGACAGUGUUGGGGAGACUUACGUAGUACCUCUAAAAUCAAAGGUGCGGGUUGAUUGGACCGUAUUUUAUAGGGUAUUUCCAGUAGAAAACAAUUGGAAUACAUUUUAUGGGGUAGUACAUAUUCUCUCAGUUGCGCAUACCUUAUUUCUCAGAAUUAAAGUACUAAUUUUUUUUCAAAAGAAUGCUUUGAAAUAAUCUAUCGCUGGAAUUGGUUUUUAAAGAAAUUGGGAAUGUAGUUCACAAUCCUUUUUGACUUGUAAAAUGUAAAAAUAAUUGCUAGCAGUUUAAGAUCUUAUGAUCUUCAAUGAUAAAUUUGUUAGGAGAAAGACAAAAUAUUCUGGACCCUGGUUUGGUAUUGAAUGAAGGUCGUAGAUACCACAAGUUUUAGAGCUGCUUAAAAGACAAUGCUAAUACCACAUUUGGUGAGAUCAAAUAGCUUGUAGUUUAAAAUUUACAGUAACCAGUGGCCAUUUUAAGUUCACUAAUUUCUCCUGGAGGAGUUGAUUUUUAAUGCUCUGUAAGAGGUAUUUGUAAAUGGUAAAGAAAAAUUUAAGAUCAUGGCACUUUUUAAAACAUUGUCAAUGUCUCUUUUGUUUUUGUUUACCUGACUUAAUGGAAAAAGGAAAGCAAAGUGAUAGUCAUUUGAAUUUUCUGUUUCUUUUUGUAUUCCAGUGUUUUAAUCCCUAGUAUUUGUUAGUACAUUCCAAAUGAGGAAAACAAAGACUGAUAGACAUUUGAGAUAAGAAAUAACUGCAGGCAUAAAUGUGCAGGUUGUGUCACUCCAUAUUUGUACCUGAAUCUUGUUUUUGGAAUCCUUUUCUCAUUUUUAUCACACUUGAGUUUUUGUCAAGGAAUCUUUAAAAACCAAAACACUUAAAUAUUUUUUCUUAUUUUUUUUUAAAGGUAUCUUAGAAGAUGGUAAUGUGGUUGCCGAUGAUUCUGAAUAAAUACAGCUUUUAUCCCAGGUAAGAUUGGUAAAUUUAUUGGUUUGACAUAAAAUUAACUUAAUAGGUUUUUGUUUUGCCUUUUUGGUGACAUAUUUCUAGCAUUCAAUUAGUAUUUAUGAUUUAACAAGUGAUUAUGAAUGAAUAUAUGAAAUUAGAAAUGUUUAAAAGCCCCUUUCGCUAAGUGAUUAAAAGAAUAUUCAUAUGGCUUUUGUAAUGUAAUGUACCUUUGAAUAGUACAAAUACUACAAGACUUUAAGGCUUUGUUUAAUUUUGGCAACAGGAUUUUAGAGCCAGGUAUGGACCAAAAUGGUUUCCUCCUCCCCUUUAAUAGCAAAUUAGUUUUGCAUUUUAAAUACUUAAAACUUAUUAGGACAUUCAAAUUUUUUGCCAUUUAGACUAAUAGAUUUUAGGGAGCAAUAUUUCAAAAGUUUAGAACAUCAAUAGUUUCUAUUCUAUAUAAAGUUUUAAAACAUUGUACUUGUUACUGUUUCUUCAGUAAGUUGUUUAGAAUGUUGUUUGUUUUCUCCAAAAGGUGUGCCAUUCUGAAGACUGAGACAAUAGAGUUUUUAAGAAUAAAAGAGAACCCUUGGGAAAUUCUGUAUUGUAUAUAUCAAAAAUAUGAAUCCUGAGGUGGAAUGAAAGGCGUGUAUACUAUAGACAUCGAAGCAUUUACACCCAGCUUGAAGAGUUUGAAAUGGACUUUACCACUGAGAAAUCAAGAUGGCAGCCCAUUAUGGGGAAUUGAGGAAAAUGGAUUAAUGCAAGAAUGCUGUGAUAUUACACAACCAACACAGGAUUCUUUUAAUAUGGAUGCCAUGAAAUGAAUGAUUCUUACCCAACACAAAUGGACAGUGGAAUUUACUUCCUAAAGACUUGUUUCGUAUCAUGUACAUUUUUGACAUCUGGAGAAGAUGCUACAUUUCUACAAAUGGUAGUUUGUAUUCCUGUAGAUUCUUGCCGUUUGCUCUGAGUGACCUUAUGGAAUGUUAACUUUAAUAAAAUUCUAAAACUUAAAAAAUUCUCAGUUUGGGCCUUUUAUAAAACUUUUUUUCACCGUGGAUGUUUUCAUUAAAUGUUUCAUUAAAGGUGAAAGAAAACCUUGAUGACAUUUUGACCUUUAUAGUUGCUUUUCAUUAAAAUAUACUGAAUAAAGCUGGUAAAAUGGAAUGGUUUUGUUUGUUUGGGAUUUAUGUGUAUUAGAAAACCUGGGUUUUCCUGUGCUUAAGUGGAAUGGUCCUUUGGUUAAAAUAGAUAUAUUCUCUCUUUCUCCCCCUCCUUCCCCUUUCUUCUUUUUCUUUUCUUUUUUCUUUUCCAGGACAGGGUUUCUCAGUGUAUCCCUGACUGUCCUGGAGUUCAGUCUGUAGACCAGCCUGGUCUGGAAUUUGCAGUGAUUUACCUGCCUCUGCCUCCUGAGUGCUAGGAUUAAAGCUGUAUACAACCACACCCAAUUUGGUGGUUUUUUUAUUAUAAGGUUUAAAUAAAUUCUUUGUUUGGGCGUUUUCAAAGUAUUUUGCAUUUUAAUCAGUGAGUAAUGGGAACCUAGUUAAUUUAUAUAAAAAGUACUUGUUGCCUGUACAGUCCAAGACAGUCUCAGAGUCUUUCAAUUUUUGUUGAGUGGUCCUUUGACCUUUGUAUAAAACCUCUUGCAAUGAAAUGCUCAUCUGAAUAUGUGAGUUAUACUGAUUUGUAUUGUCUUACAUUAGAGAGGUGUAUUUGUAAGUUCUUUGGGUAUACAUUAAAGGGCUUACUCUCACAGUAUUAAUUUACAUUUGACAAAAAUCAUUUUUUUUCUUGUUUCGGGCAGUUGGGAGUUUAAAUGAAUCAUACCAUGCUUUGGAUUGGUUACCCAUGGUUGAAAUCAAAUACCAGGUUUUCAUUUAUUGCUACUUUGGUAAGGAAUAUAAUAAAACAGUAAUGGGGAUUUGGUUGACCAAAUGAUGACUGAUGUUUUUUCAUUACAGAAAACAGAAUAAAAUAAUCUAUUAAUGUAAAAUACCUUCGAAUACACAUGUAUAGUUAAUAUAGAUGCAGUGUUUCUUUGAGUGAUGUGAGGUGGUUGGUCGUUUGAUUUUGAUGUAAAAAUAUCUGUAGAAUUGAAACUUGAUUAUGGAUUUUACGUUUACUUAGAUUUAACAUAAUUGGUUUUGGUUGUAAAACUAAAAUGGAUUACCCCAUUGAUGGAGUGACAUGGUUUUGACCAAUAGGGUUCAGUAAAGGAAUGUUUUGAGUUUUGGGCGUGUGCGUGGUUGGUUUCUUGUCUGCAUGGGAGAGAACACGUGGUUGCAUUUGUGAUUUUGUUUCUGUGGGCCUUGUGCUUCCAUCAUGAGGGAGUUUGUCUUUGACAGUUGAUGAUUGACUGGUAGAUGUGGUCUAGCAUUGUAAGUGAGCUGUGGUUAAUGAAAUGUGAGUGUCCCUAGAAUUUGAUUUGAAACAUAAGUGAAGGGUUCUUUUGGUUUUGGAGUUGAGGUUGAGUGUUUGAUUUAAUGGUGACCAAUGUUGGAAUAUAUUCUUGAAUUUGAAGUUAUUAAUUUUGCCCAAAUAUAUAUAUAAGAAGUAACUGUGUUUGAUGUAUGGCAUUUCCAAGGUUAAUAGUUUACAAAGAAUUUUGUUUCUUCUGGGGGGAAAAUGGUUGAACUAACUUUUGCUCUACUGCAUUUGAACACUAGGGAGGCGCUCUUGAGUUGCACAAGAAAUUACCCCUUCCAGUUGAAGUGGAAAAUUCCCCCUUAAUCUUUAUUUGUUUUUAGGCACUAUAAAGAAGGCAAGAGUUGAGUUUAAUUUAUGGUGUUGAAAUGUUGCUUCUAUAUACAAGCCAUUUUACCCAUGGGGGUAUUAAUAUUUUUAAAGAUUAAUACUUAAACUGAGUUUUAGAUUCUCUAAAAAUUAUCUUUAUUUCAAAAUGGCUUGAUAAAACUCUACUUCCUGUCCAGGGAGGAAGUUAUUUUAGCUCAAGGACUGAAAUAUUUAGCAGAUCUUUAGACAAAAGGAACAAAUUACAUUUCUCUCUGGCUUAAAAAGGGUGCUUGAGCCAGAGGGGGUUAAGAAGCCCUUCCCCCUCCCCCUGAUGGAGUGGUCUGGAGGGGCAGGGAGGUGUGGAGUUGGGGGUCUUCAGGCUCCCUCAGAUUGAGG